AGGGACACUCUCCUUCCUCCCUUUUCACCUGGUGAACUCCUACUCAACCAUCAGGACUUAGCUGAGGGGCACCAUCUCUGUGAAGCGACCCCUGGCCAUGUCCGGCUUAGGUGGCCCUCUCAGAUUCUCCCACAGCCCUGAAUGUCCUCAGCCAGGCGCUGUCCCACCUGAUCACAGCUGCCUGCUCUCCUCUUGCACCCCCAUGGGCAGUGAGCUCUGCCCUUUAUUUCCAGAGUAAUCUUUGAAGAAAGCGGUCAUGUCCUCCCUCCCUUACUUGCCCCAUCUGAGUCAGAUGAGAGGUAAAGUCUUGCCAGGACCUAUGAGCUGUGCCCUGUUGGACACCUGCCUUCUUUUUGACCUCAUCUCCUUUCACAGGCUCCCCUUCCUCCCAGCUUGUUCAUCGUGAUCCACUCACACCAGCAGCUUGAAGUUCCUCAAACUCGGCGCUCAUGCUUCCACCUCCUGGCAUUUGCACUUUCUUCUCUGCUGCCUGGAACAAUCCUCCACAGGCGCCGUCAGGCUCAUCAGGUCUGGCCGCAUGCCCAGGUCCCUCGGAUUGGACUCACAGGAUCAGC
rnacentral:lncRNA from 10 species